CUUGCUGACUAAACCUCUCAUCCGGGAAAUAAAUCUUCAACAUGUGGGCCUUUGAGGGCUCUCCAAAUCCAGACUGUACCUUUGUCCUUAACCCUUUUUAAAAGUUACUGCAGGCAGAGAAGAGGUAGAACUGGCUUUCCUGUAUCCAGAAGUGCAGCCAGGAAUUGUGAACUGAUUUCCUUCCUUUUGAGGUCCUCAGAACUGGCCAAAUGAACUACAGAAGGGAAAAGCCGGAGGCGGUAUACUUGCAAAACAAUUUCAAGUCCACUGCGGUUUCCUCAUUUCCCUUGCAGAGUGUCAAGGAAAACCUGAAUUUUUGGUAGCCCAAGCAGAGCAGAGAUGAGUGUUAGAUAAGAUGCUGACCUGAGGCAGAGCUGCUUGGUGAAUCGAAGCCAAUUAAGUGGGUCUGCAGUGACCACCGUCGAAUUCAGCUUCACUCCAGACCCGGCCUCUCCACUUACCUGAGGUGGUUAAUUUGGGAAUUCCGUUAGUGCCAACCACGCAGACAGCUACGCUCUGUGCCCACGGCCCCCUGCCGUCCCCCCGCUGCACCCCACAGCUGAAGGCUCACAGAGACGCAUCGGCCUCAGGGACCGUCCUUGGCCCGCGGGUCCUUCCGGUGUUCCCCACUACUGUGCCCUGUCUCUGGCUCUUCCUGCUCUGUGCAAGUCUGCGGGACCCCCGCUCCCGCCCUGCCAGGACCCGUCACUCCGAGUUGGAAGAUGUCGUCCCAGAGCG
rnacentral:lncRNA from 1 species